GUCAGGGUAGCUCAGCUGGUUAGAGCGCUGGUCUCAUAAGCCGGAGGUCGAGAGUUCAAGUCUCUCUCCUGACACCA
rnacentral:tRNA from 1 species